GCCGGACAGCCUGUCGCUGACGAUUCCACGGAGUCGGAAGAGGAAAGUCCGGGCAGCAUAGGGCAUCCCACUUCCUAAUAUAGAAGCAGUCCGUAAGGGUUGAGUAAUGCAGAAGAAAAUAACAACAGACACCUCUAUAGUUUCGGCUAUGUAGUGACUGAAAUGGUGAGAAGGUGAGGUAAGAGCUCACCAGCAGCAUGGUGACAUGCUGGCUGUGCAUCUUGGGAGCUGCAAGUUCAUGUAAACCACCGCCAUCAGGGUAGCCCGUCCGAUAGUUUCGGUGGAGGGUAGAACGCUUGAACCAUGAGGUGACUCAUGGCCUAGAUAAAUGACAGACACGCUUCUCUCGAGGAGCGAACAGAACCCGGCUUAUCGUCCGGCUGC
rnacentral:RNase_P_RNA from 1 species